rnacentral:rRNA from 1 species
UACGUAGGGUGCAAGCGUUGUCCGGAAUUAUUGGGCGUAAAGGGCUCGUAGGCGGUCCAUCGCGUCGGGAGUGAAAAGCUGGGGCCUAACCCCAGUCCUGCUUCCGAUACGGGUGGACUAGAGGUAGGUAGGGGAGAUCGGAAUUCCUGGUGUAGCGGUGAAAUGACGCAGAUAUCAGGAGGAACACCGGUGGCGAAGGCGGAUCUCUGGGCCUUACCUGACGCUGAGGAGCGAAAGCAUGGGGAGCAAACAGG